rnacentral:piRNA from 1 species
UAUAAGCGAUGCCAGAUUCCCACCUGAGGU